GAAACGCGAACCAAGCAACCACCCACCGGUGGUGUAAGACUUGGAGCUGCCUCGGGCAACCGAGGCAUGUA
rnacentral:ncRNA from 1 species